rnacentral:lncRNA from 1 species
AAGUUGAAUGCUAUGCUAUGACAUGAUAGCAAAGUCCCAAACAGGAAAGGGGCAUCUGGCAGACCGGGGCAAGUCGUUUGACUGGUUGAGAUAAUUCAAACUGAGGUUGAAUUCGAAUAAGUGCACUGUCAGAGUGCGGGCCGGUAAGAUACUGGGGUUCGUUGUAAGAGGGGAAUCGAGGUUCAUCCUGCAAAAAAAAAAAAAAUAGUAAAGUAAAAGAAAAU